GUCCUCGUACAACACAACACUCCUCUGUCUCAUCUGUGUGACAAGCAACACAAGACUAGACAAGUGCAACCAUGCUGAAGGUAGCUCUGAUUCUGGGAUGUCUCCUGAGCCUUACUUUGGCUUCCCCUAUGAAUGAGGAGCACCAUCGUAAUGUUCGCUCUGAUGAAUCAAGCUCAGGGGAGAGUACCACCACAACUGCGACCACCACAACUGCAGCCACCACAGCAGCUGAUCUCGCUGCACUGAUCCAGGC